CACCUCGUCUCCUCUUCUCCCAGGCAGACCCUGCCGCGAGGGCAUCGGCCUCCGGGCGCGGCCAGAUGAGGCGGACGUUCUUAGGAGAAUGCUGAGCAAGGGGCCACAGUCGGUGACUCUAGGAGACUGCCAGUGGGCGAGGCGGCCUUCCUCGGCACCGGACGUGGAUUCUCGUCCCCGGACGUCCGAGAGAUAAGUCGAGGGCCGGGGCCCUGAGAGGGGAUGGAAGCGAGGCGCUGGGAGGGCUUUUGGAGGCAGCUUUGGAGAUGGGGGUGGCCCUUUAGGCCACAUAAAGGAAAAGCCUCACAGUGCUGAAGUGCUCAGGGCAGAGCAGUGCCGGUGCACGGUGUGUCACUUGUCCGUCGUGCCUUCUGUGUCUUUUGCCUUAGUCCUUUGAGGGGCUUAUCGGAAGCCCGGGCGUCCAUCUUUGCAUCUCUCAUCUCUGUGUUCCUCGGCCCCGUGCCGAUUCCUUCUUACCUUUGGCUCGGGAGCCCGCACAGGCCUUGGAGUAGCAUCCGGUCAGAUGUCUUUUGCGGUCUUGUUCUGGGCUGUUCUCGACAGCUGUGAUUUGUGACAAUUGUGACGGCAAGGAUGCGAUCUAGCAGAUUAGGACUCGUAGCAAUGCGGAGAUCCGUAGAGCAUUCUGACGCUAGGAUUCUCGGGCAUCCUUCUCUGCCUUGCUUGGAAUAGGUCAUUCAGUUAGCAUCUUGUUCCUGCAGGGUUCUCUGCGCCUUAGAGGCUCGCCAUCAGUCUCAGCUAGGUCAUCUCAAUCUGCAGUCUCUGGCUCCCUGAGGGCAUUCUUCUCGCUCAGAGCUUUCUCCCCGUGUUGUGUCCCCUUGUUUGUCUUGUUCUGUGUCACGGGUGUCUGGGUAUUUGGCCUGGAGCUGCUCUGCCCUGCUGCAUAGCCUGGUGUAGGUCUAGAAUGGGGCGUGUCCUGGGGCCUGGAAAUUUGUAAUGUGGGGUGUAUUUGGACUCUAGAUGGGAUCUGUAGAUUGAUGAAGGCUAUCUGGAGCUGUUAAGUUAUCCUGCAGUGCUCUGACUUUUGUCCUAACGUUCUUUCAGACGCAGCCAGAUGGAAUCCGUGGCAGAGGGCCCCGUCCCGGGUGAGGGGGGUCCCCCGAGAAGGAACUAAAGCCAGAUACUAGCAGUCAAGGCGGUCCGCUCGUAUUACGCCGAGACCCCCCUCAGCAACGGGGCCGCAGACACCCGCUUCGUCACUCUCGUGGGAAUUUGGGAAGCAGCGCACGGA